rnacentral:rRNA from 1 species
GACGAACGCUUGCGGCGUGCUUAACACAUGCAAGUCGAACGGAAAGGCCCUGCUUUUGUGGGGUGCUCGAGUGGCGAACGGGUGAGUAACACGUGAGUAACCUGCCCUUGACUUUGGGAUAACUUCAGGAAACUGGGGCUAAUACCGGAUAGGAGCUCCUGCUGCAUGGUGGGGGUUGGAAAGUUUCGGCGGUUGGGGAUGGACUCGCGGCUUAUCAGCUUGUUGGUGGGGUAGUGGCUUACCAAGGCUUUGACGGGUAGCCGGCCUGAGAGGGUGACCGGCCACAUUGGGACUGAGAUACGGCCCAGACUCCUACGGGAGGCAGCAGUGGGGAAUAUUGCACAAUGGGCGGAAGCCUGAUGCAGCAACGCCGCGUGCUGGAUGACGGCCUUCGGGUUGUAAACCGCUUUCGCCUGUGACGAAGCGUGAGUGACGGUAAUGGGUAAAGAAGCACCGGCUAACUACGUGCCAGCAGCCGCGGUGAUACGUAGGGUGCGAGCGUUGUCCGGAUUUAUUGGGCGUAAAGGGCUCGUAGGUGGUUGAUCGCGUCGGAAGUGUAAUCUUGGGGCUUAACCCUGAGCGUGCUUUCGAUACGGGUUGACUUGAGGAAGGUAGGGGAGAAUGGAAUUCCUGGUGGAGCGGUGGAAUGCGCAGAUAUCAGGAGGAACACCAGUGGCGAAGGCGGUUCUCUGGGCCUUUCCUGACGCUGAGGAGCGAAAGCGUGGGGAGCGAACAGGCUUAGAUACCCUGGUAGUCCACGCUGUAAACGGUGGGUACUAGGUGUGGGGUCCAUUCCACGGGUUCCGUGCCGUAGCUAACGCUUUAAGUACCCCGCCUGGGGAGUACGGCCGCAAGGCUAAAACUCAAAGGAAUUGACGGGGCCCCGCACAAGCGGCGGAGCAUGCGGAUUAAUUCGAUGCAACGCGUAGAACCUUACCUGGGUUUGACAUGGAUCGGGAGUGCUCAGAGAUGGGUGUGCCUCUUUUGGGGUCGGUUCACAGGUGGUGCAUGGCUGUCGUCAGCUCGUGUCGUGAGAUGUUGGGUUAAGUCCCGCAACGAGCGCAACCCUUGUUCACUGUUGCCAGCACGUUAUGGUGGGGACUCAGUGGAGACCGCCGGGGUCAACUCGGAGGAAGGUGGGGAUGACGUCAAGUCAUCAUGCCCCUUAUGUCCAGGGCUUCACGCAUGCUACAAUGGCUGGUACAGAGAGUGGCGAGCCUGUGAGGGUGAGCGAAUCUCGGAAAGCCGGUCUCAGUUCGGAUUGGGGUCUGCAACUCGACCUCAUGAAGUCGGAGUCGCUAGUAAUCGCAGAUCAGCAACGCUGCGGUGAAUACGUUCCCGGG